AAGCAGUGAUGAGUCUAUCCCGAACCUGAGUCUUUGAUGACACACAUAUGGAUCUGACUGCUGAGCU